GGAAAAACACUCUCACUAGGAGGGUGGUGAAGCACUGGAACAGGUUAUCUAGAGAGGUGGUGGAAACUCCAUCCUGGGAAGUUUUUAAGCCCUGGCUUGACAAAACCUGUGGCUGGAAUGAACUAGUUAGGGCUGGUCCGGCUUUGAGCAGGGGGGUGAAUUAGAUGUGCCC